AGUGAACGCUGGCGGUAGGCCUAACACAUGCAAGUCGAACGGCAGCACAGUAAGAGCUUGCUCUUACGGGUGGCGAGUGGCGGACGGGUGAGGAAUACAUCGUAAUCUACUUUUUCGUGGGGGAUCACGUAGGGAAACUUACGCUAAUACCGCAUACGACCUACGGGUGAAAGCAGGGGAUCUUCGGACCUUGCGCGAUUGAAUGAGCCGAUGUCGGAUUAGCUAGUUGGCGGGUUAAAGGCCCACCAAGGCGAGGAUCCGUAGCUGGUCGGGGAGGAGGGUCAGCCACAUGGGAGCGGGGACAGGGACCAGACGCCUACGGGAGGGAGCAGAGGGGAAUAUUGGACAAUGGUCGCAAGCCUGAUCCAGCGAUACCGCGUGGGUGAAGAAGGCCUUCGGGUUGUAAAGCCCGUUUGUUGGGAAAGAAAAGCAGCAGGUUAAUACGCCGCUGUUCUGACGGUACCCAAAGAAUAAGCACCGGCUAACUUCGUG
rnacentral:rRNA from 1 species